rnacentral:rRNA from 1 species
AUACGUAGGGGGCGAGCGUUGUCCGGAAUGAUUGGGCGUAAAGGGCGCGUAGGCGGCCUGUUAAGUCUGGAGUGAAAGUCCUGUUUUCAAGAUGGGAAUUGCUUUGGAUACUGUCGGGCUUGAGUGCAGGAGAGGUAAGUGGAAUUCCCAGUGUAGCGGUGAAAUGCGUCGAGAUUGGGAGGAACACCAGUGGCGAAGGCGACUUACUGGACUGUAACUGACGCUGAGGCGCGAAAGUGUGGGGAGCAAACAGGAUUAGAUACCCUGGUAGUCCACACUGUAAACGAUGAAUGCUAGGUGUAGGGGGUAUCGACCCCUUCUGUGCCGCAGUCAACACAAUAAGCAUUCCGCCUGGGGAGUACGGCCGCAAGGUUGAAACUCAAAGGAAUUGACGGGG